GUACAUGGUAUCCGAUCUUGUCCUAAAAAAUAAAACGGGCAGUUAUUUUACCAUCACAAUGAGUUUCUUCCAGAAUAAGCAGAGGAAUGGCAGUUUGGGACAAGCAAGCUAUAGCAAAAAUCAUACGCAAUUCCAACAACCAAAAAAAAGAAGAAUGUUACUUUACAGAGAAAAAGGAGGAAGUCCAGUGGGGUUGUUUUGAGCAAAGUUCAUUGGAUGAAAGCAAGGGUUGAGGAGAGUUUGGCGUUUCCCGUUGGCCGGGCUUGUUAGGGAGAGGACAGUUCCUCCUGCCGAGGGAUGUAAUUGACAUUGAUUGACGUUAUGGCUGGCUGCUGUAGUUGAUGGUGAGGGCAAGUGCCUGAAGACUCCCAGGUUCUGGCCUUCUGACUUCAUUUUAAAUGAGGUUACCUGGAGUUCCCUUGUGGCUCAGCAGUUAUGAACGCAGCUAGUAUCCAAGAGGAUGCGGGUGUGAUCCCUAGCCUUGUCCAGUGGGUUAAGGAUCCGGCAUUGCCAUGAGCUGUGGUGUGGGUUGCAGAUGUGGCUCGGAUCUGGCAUUGCUGUGGCUCUGGUAUAGGCCAGCAGCUGCAGCACCAGUUCGACCCCUAGCCUGGGAACUUCCAUAUGCCGCAGGUGUGGCCCUCAAAUAACAGUAAAUAAAUAAAUAAAUAAGGUUUCCUUUAUUCUCUUUCAUAAACUCUUCCACAAAUACAGCAUAUAGUAUAGUAUAUGGGUACUAGGGUCUUGGUAUAACCCCUGGUAAUUUCUUCAGAGUCUUUUGUUCAUGAAGAUUUUGCAUGGAACUCACGUUUGCCUUUGUAUUAAAAAGAAUUUCCCAGAGGGUCCAAUCGGAGCUGUAGCCACUGGCCUACACCACAGCCACAGCAACCCGGGAUCCUUAACCCACUGAGCAAGGCCAGGGAUCGAACCCGCAACCUCAUGGUUCCUAGUCAGAUUUGUUAACCACUGAGCCACGACGGGAAAUCCUAAUCGACUUUUUUCUCAAAGGAAAAGUAAUGUUCAAAACUAAAUGAAAUGUUAACCCUACCUUGAGAUCAUAAUGUUACUUUGUUUUUCAAAGCCAUCAAAAUAUUCAUACUUUUAAACGUAGUACAUUCAGUUCUGGGAUCCUCAUCUAAGAAAACUAUCCAGAAGAUGGGAGGAAACUUAUAUUCGUAUGAAUAUAUGUGUUGGGAUUUAUGUCAGGCUUAAAAACAUAGUAAAUCAUUUUUGGUCAUCAAUAUGCCUGUGAAAGGUUAGAAGCAACCAAUUGUCUGCAUAGAAGUAUUGGAUGAAGUUUCCAUUCAUAUAGUUUACAUGCUCAAAGAGGGACAUAAACUGUCAUCACGUUCCCGUUGUGGAGCAGCAGACAAAUCUGACUAGGAUCCAUGAGGAUGCAGCUUCGAUCCCUGGCCUCGUUCAGUGGGUCAGGGAUCCAGCAUUGCCAUGAGCUGUGGUAUAGGUCGCAGCUGCAGCUUGGAUUCCGAGUUGUUGUAGCUGUGGUGUAGGCUGGCAGCUGUAGCUCUGAUUCGACCCCUAGCCUGGAAACUUCCAUAUGCCGCGAGUACGGCUCUAAAAAGCAAAAGCAAACACAAACACACAGGAACUAUUCACUAUUCUCAAAGAGAUAUUGCUAAUACAAGUGGAACAAAAUCUGUGACAUCUAAAAUCCUCUUUACUGUUUCCAAAAUCCCACCCAUUGAUGAGUCAAUUAUUUGUCAGUCUCCCAAAUGCUAAGAUGCCUCUAACUCCUGGGUCUCCUUCCCUUCGUAGCAGGUGUUCGGCCCUGAGGAAAUACCUAGCUCUACCCCAGGCAUCGAAUCUUCUCAUCUUAUCUCAAGGCCCAGAAUUGCUAGAAUUAGAUUCUGGGCUGGAGACUACAAAUAUCACCAGACCUUUUGUUAACCCCAUACACUCCGUCACUGUCCUUUGGCUGCAUAGAAUCUCUAAAGUUCCAACAACCAGGAUGGGAAUUAAGGUUAGAGUGGAAAAGGGGAAGUAACUCUCUUCAGCAAUCAGGUCUCAGAGACUAUGAGUGUAAAAUAGAAAAUUGAGGAUGGGGAGAUUCUGAGUACUUCUCCCCAUAUUAAAACAAAACAACAACAAAAAAAAUCAGCAAAUAUUUUCCCAGAUGUCUCUCCUUUUGACUCUUGAACCAUACUAUCUCUAACAGCAAAGCCAAGGCGGCAAUCUCAGUUUUGAAAAGUUUCUAUCCCGGAGUUCCCGUCGUGGCGCAGUGGUUAACGAAUACGACUAGGAACCAUGAGGUUGCGGGUUCGGCCCUAGCCUGGGAACCUCCACAUGCCACAGGGGCGGCCCAAGAAAUAGCAAAAAGACAAAAAAAUAAUAAUAAUAAUAAAAUAAAAUAAAAAAUAAAAAGUUUCUAUCCCUAUGGUAGAAAGUCUACGAAGAGGUAACAUGCUUGCCCUGUAACAGAAGUAAAGGCUAAAAAUAAUGUAGAGGAAAAAAA
ensembl:lncRNA